AUACGGAGGGUCCGAGCGUUAUCCGGAAUCAUUGGGUUUAAAGGUUCCGUAGGCGGGAAUCUAAGUCAGUGGUGAAAUCUUGCAGCUCAACUGUAAAAUUGCCAUUGAUACUGGAUUUCUUGAAUUAGUGUGAAGUGGUUAGAAUGUGUAGUGUAGCGGUGAAAUGCAUAGAUAUUACACAGAAUACCAAUUGCGAAGGCAGAUCACUAACACUAUAUUGACGCUGAGGGACGAAAGCGUGGGGAGCGAACAGGAUUAGAAACCCCAGUAGUCC
rnacentral:rRNA from 1 species